rnacentral:lncRNA from 1 species
ACAAACCAAAACAGAGACCAUGCGUCACAGAGGCAAAGGAGGAAUAAGAGGUAUUUUGGACACACAACAGUGAACCAAAAUGUACAUGUAUGUGACAAGGAAAACAUUCAAGAGAUUGAAGUGUCAAAUGUAUAUGCUUCAACAUUUCAACAUCUCUACGGAACCGGUUGAGUCAAAUGCAGCCCUACAGGACAAGGAUAUCUGAAUAGCCUUCAAUAUGAAACGAGAAUGUAGCUGUAGCAAGGGGCAAGAUAGAUCAGCUGAAGCUUCGUCUUCACUCAAUAAAUAUGUUCUCUGUACAACUGGAAACUUGAGUUCAUAGAGGACACAGCAGCAUAUUGAAAGAUAUAAAAAUGUAUGAAGAUAUGAAGCCAUCCGAUACAAAUAGUAGCUCUGACAAGAUGAUAUCAUUGAGAACAGAACGACAUUGCACUUCUCAUAGAGUUCUGAAUAAUUGAAACAUAGAACCUGCUGAAGCAAAGGCAUUGGAUUAGAUAAUAAAUACAGAAUACCAUUAGAACUAUGGUUACUGCCAGUGAACCCAAACCAGAGAACUUGCACAAAGAAGAAAAAACUAGUAAAAACCACUCUACUCUCUCUUUUAUUUUUUCACCGAUAUUUGUCGUCCUUUAUUUCUUUUGCAAUUUUGUCCUUCUCUGAACUUUUUUCCUCUCACUUUCUCUUUCUAUUUAAAAGCACAAAAAUGCAUGAAAUAUAAGUGCUUCAUAACCAAUAAAAAUCUACCAUUUAUCUAUCCAAUUAUAAGAAAUUUCUAGAGUUAAGUUUGCUUAUUAUCUCACUAAUUAAUUCCUCAAGUGCAAUACACGUGACAUGGGGUGAAAUCUACUUGGAGAUGGCUUAGUUUGGUAGCUAGUGAAAUUAGCAAAUUUUCUGAUCCAAAACACGAGAUGGAAGAAAUCCCAUAAACCUUUUCAGCUCUAACUUGUUUAAAAGAUUCGAAAAUAGAAAAAUAAACACAAUUAGGGUGUAGGUCUCUUAUCUUUUUAUUAAAAAAUAAUAAGAUUGUAUUAUAAAACCUCUACUUAUACAAGAGGGGACUACCCUUGCACAAUUCAAGUUGUAUUUUUCUUAUAAUUAGAGUAAAUUAUCACCAAACAGCUAAAAUCCUACUCGAGAUAGAUUUUCAAAUUUACAUAUAUAAUUUUGUUUUUAGUUGUUUCAUCUAAUUGUUCUUUGAUUUAAAGAUAUGUCUGAUCAAAAUGUUUUCUAAAAAUAAAUUUUUUAUUUUGACCAGCCAAAUUUUUUCGAUCCAGAUAAUGGAAUUUGUUCAUGUUCUUUCGGUGUACAUCAUUUUUAUUGGGUAGCACUAUGUAGUAAAGCCCGAAAAGUUAUCCAAUUAAAAAUAAAAAAAGAAGCAUCUCAAGUGAAUGCCAUGCGGAAGUUGCAAAUUAGUUUUAAAAUCGGGACUUAGAAUUGCCUUGGCAUUUUGAUCUUUGGCAAGCAGUUAAAGGUGACUGAAUUUUUUUAGCUCUAUAUUUGUGAAACUAAAUGAAAGUUUGGAGGGUCGAAAGUGAAAGCACUUAUUUCAGGUUGGAAGGCUUAUCCUACAUCAAUUGGUUUUGGCCUCAACUCCGUGAUAUCUAAUUGCUAAUUGUGAUGUUCCUACAAUUCUUAUUGACAGCCUCUAUAGGCUCUUCAAGUCCUUGCGAGGAUAUAAGAUUGGGCGGAGGGGGAUGCAACUGGUCUAAUGGAAUUCCCCUUGCCAAUCCAAAAAAGAGGGUGGUCUUGGCAUCCCGGAUCUUAGAGUUAGAUGCAGUUUUUUCUUGCCUGGAGCUGCUGCUAAUUUGGUACCGGACAACAAUUCCUUGUAGGUCAAGGUAGCCUUUUCUAAAUACUACUUCAAGGGACCAUGGGAGAACUGCAAAAAAUGGAAGGAGAGUCCAAAAUCUAGAAAUUAACCAGAUUAAAACUAUCCUGACUUAUCCUUGUGUAAUAACUGAAUUUGACAAUACCAAGUUAUUUUAUGGAAGUUUUAGGGCUCGUGAAACAUAGAUUAAAGAUUUAUGAAAUUUAUAUAUCAUAUUGAUAGAAUUUGCUAAAUGUCCCCCUGCUUAUCUUGACAUUAUAAAUCAGUUCAACAACUCAUGAAAUUCAAAUUCCACCCUCAUCACUGUCAAGACUAUUCUACCUUGCAAAAUUCUCCCGCACAUCUAUCAUACUUGUCAUCCUUUCCAUUUAAUUUCUAGACUUUUUUUUUUUGGUUUCAUAUCAAUUAAUGUUGGGUCACCAUCUAUUUACUUAACACCUCUAGUUUACCCAUAAAUAAUCUCCUUUCAUCAAGUGAGAAUAAUCAACAAGUUGGUACUCCUCUCCAAUUUGACUGAGGAGGUCCUAAAAAAAUCGAACCCAGGAAACAUUCCCAUCGCGUCUCCAAGUGGCACGCAAAUCGUACUAUCCCAUUGCAUUUUUACAGGAGAUUAGCAUUGGCUUUUAGAAUACAUAAAACUAGACUAGCCUAGUGAUACAAAAAGUAAAAAGAUCUACAAGUUAACAAUUCUUCUCACAAAGAAGGAUCUACAAGUCAACAGUUCUUGGAAAGUGGAACAAAAAGAGCAAGAAAUCUCUGACCUUUUCCUGUCACAUCCAUUAGAUCCUAUGGUCCCUACCAAAUCAAACCCCUCACACGGUUGCACAAAAUAGCUAAUAGACCGUAACAUCAAAAUAGAGACCGUAAUUUCACAAUAUAGUAUGAUGUGAUUUUGUGGCCCAUAUGCUAAAGAGCCAGGAACCUCUUAGGUUCGGCCCCAAUUUGAUGAUCCGGCUCGAUAAUUGUAGCCAUCUAUGUAUCAUGAACGGUCAUAUGAUGCAGCAGCGUCUGUAGUCGAUAUGGGACAGCAGCUCUUGCAAUAUAUGUGAUCCAAUGCAUCACGAUCAUCUCACCACACACGAACGAACGGCCAAGGUUGUUUCACCCUGAACCGCCCAUCCACGUUUCACUCGUUCGAAAUGGCGGUCAUCCACGUGGUCCACCAGGAACCGCAAACCUCGUGGCCCCACGUGCCCCUCGAGCCCGACCGUAUCCAGACAUCCUUUUGACCGACUGGUGCCGGUUCCGGACCCGAAACAACCAAAUCGCUGAAUCGACCAUCGACGGCGACGUCCAUGACACAAGAACUGGGUGACCGGACCCCCCCACCCCCGGUUUAGCUCCGCUGCCACGCGGAACAAAACGCUUCCACCUCGAACUAUCUAACACUCCAGUAAUCAGCCCGAGCUUUAAAGUCCAACUGUAGAUAGCCGAACAGUUGCGCGCGGUGUACUCCGUUUGGAGGGGAAGGCUAGAGCCAACCUGGGCCUCAGAGGUCAGGUGAGAACGGUGGGGGGUUACUUCAUAGUUUGGCCCACAACGUACGUGGACCAAUAAGGCCCCACCACCUCACCUCUGACGCGCACCGUGAACCCUGGAACUUGCCACCGAACCUAAAGGAUAUAUAUAAAAAAUUUACUGUUUAACUCAAUAGAGAUUCCAGGUCGCCCGAUGCAGUGGCUAUAUAAGACUGGAGGAUCAACUGGGGUUAAGUCUACCGAACAAUUUUUUAAUAUAUAUAUAUAUAUAUAAAGAAAGUAUGUGGGUCCUGAACAGCAGUGUAACACGACAAGAGAGGUAAUAAAAUUUAACCGAGAAGUCAAAAGAAAUGUUACUUUUGAUUUUGUUUUGCGUUUGCGAACGGUCCAGAGAGGCGCCACGCGUCACCCAGCCUUGGCACCUGUCCUCCUGCUUUUGUCCCCCUCGGGUGGCUG